GACGAACGCUGGCGGCGUGCCUAAUACAUGCAAGUCGAGCGAGCUUGCCUAGAUGAAUUUGGUGCUUGCACCAAAUGAAACUAGAUACAAGCGAGCGGCGGACGGGUGAGUAACACGUGGGUAACCUGCCCAAGAGACUGGGAUAACACCUGGAAACAGAUGCUAAUACCGGAUAACAACACUAGACGCAUGUCUAGAGUUUAAAAGAUGGUUCUGCUAUCACUCUUGGAUGGACCUGCGGUGCAUUAGCUAGUUGGUAAGGUAACGGCUUACCAAGGCAAUGAUGCAUAGCCGAGUUGAGAGACUGAUCGGCCACAUUGGGACUGAGACACGGCCCAAACUCCUACGGGAGGCAGCAGUAGGGAAUCUUCCACAAUGGACGCAAGUCUGAUGGAGCAACGCCGCGUGAGUGAAGAAGGGUUUCGGCUCGUAAAGCUCUGUUGGUAGUGAAGAAAGAUAGAGGUAGUAACUGGCCUUUAUUUGACGGAAUACUAGAAAGCACG
rnacentral:rRNA from 1 species